rnacentral:rRNA from 1 species
CACGUGAGAAUCUACCCUAAGGAGGGGAAUAACAGCUGGAAACGGUUGCUAAUACCCCAUAUGCCGCAAGGUGAAAGGAUAUAUCCACCUUAGGAAGAGCUCGCGUCUGAUUAGCUAGUUGGUGAGGUAAUAGCUCACCAGGGCCAUGAUCAGUAGCUGGUUUGAGAGGACGAUCAGCCACACUGGGACUGAGACACGGCCCAGACUCCUACGGGAGGCAGCAGUGGGGAAUUUUCCGCAAUGGGCGAAAGCCUGACGGAGCAAUACCGCGUGAGGGAUGGAGGCCUCUGGGCUGUAAAC